rnacentral:miRNA from 1 species
AUGGAAUUAUUUGGUAUC